rnacentral:tRNA from 1 species
GGGUCUGUAGCUCAGUGGAUUAGAGCACUUGCCUCCUAAGCAAGGGGUCGUGGGUUCGAAUCCCAUCAGACUCG